CUUCUGGAUCGUCUUUCCAGAGGUGUCUCGCUAAUGGAUGGAGCAAUUCUGAUUUUAGAUGCAUCCCCAAGAGUUGUGGUGAUCCUGGUAGUCCUGUCAAUGGCAAAAGACAAAGUUACGUCUUUACAUUUAAGAGGAAGGUGUAUUUCAAAUGUAAUCGAGGAUAUAAGCUUGAUGGACCAGAAUACAGGCAAUGUCAGGCCAACCAGAAGUGGAGCGACAGGACACCAACCUGUAAACCGAUAGACUGUGGUCGUCUGGAAGAUCCAAAAGACGGCGAGAAGGUAGAAGAAACUUCUACAGGCUUUGGAGGUAAAGUCGUGUUUGAUUGCAAGAAAAAAGGCUUUGAAAUAAAGGGAUCUGCACAACGUGUUUGUCAAGAGGAUGGACAGUGGAGCGGAAUCAAUACUACAUGUGAACGUGUGGAGUGCAAGAUUCCUGCAACACCUCUUAAGGGUGAAAAAGAGCCAGAAAAGAAUAA